rnacentral:sRNA from 1 species
AAGGCCGGCGCACGCUGGGCGGUGGUGGUCCCUAAGCCGGGCCGCGGCCGGUGCGAUGGACUCCACUGCCUGCUUGAAGUCCUUGCUCCUGACUGUCAGUCAGUACAAAGCCGUGAAGUCAGAGGCGAACGCCACUCAGCUUUUGCGGCACUUGGAGGUAAUUUCUGGACAGAAACUCACACGAUUAUUUACAUCAAAUCAGAUAUUAACAAGUGAAUGCUUGAGUUGCCUUGUAGAGCUACUUGAAGACCCCAACAUAAGUGCUUCACUGAUCUUAAGUAUUAUCAGUUUGCUGUCUCAACUAGGUAAUGCAUUUAAUUUCUCCUUUUUAGUUUUUGGAAGAUGUAUGAACAAUAUUUUAAAGCGCAGGCUUAGUUAUAGAAUCUCUUAAAGAAUGAUUCACCUUCAAAGACUUCUCAGUCUAAUGUGCAUUGUGAAUCUUUUGACAGUGAGGAAGUCAUAGCUACCGAUCAAAGAAUGAUCCUUCUGUAAUAGAUUACACUGAAUUUA